GUGCCAGCAGCCGCGGUAAUACGUAGGGAGCGAGCGUUGUCCGAAUUCACUGGGCGUAAAGCGCGCGUAGGCGGGUUAUUAAGUUGGGGGUGAAAUGCCGAGGCUCAACCUCGGAACUGCCUCCAAAACUGGUAGCCUUGAGGUAUGGAGAGGGAAGUGGAAUUCCAGGUGUAGCGGUGAAAUGCGUAGAUAUCUGGAGGAACACCCGUGGCGAAGGCGGCUUCCUGGCCAUAUCCUGACGCUGAGGUGCGAAAGCUAGGGGAGCGAACGGGAUUAGAAACCCGGGUAGUCC
rnacentral:rRNA from 1 species